ACUCCUACGGGAGGCAGCAGUGGGGAAUAUUGCACAAUGGGGGAAACCCUGAUGCAGCCAUGCCGCGUGUGUGAAGAAGGCCUUCGGGUUGUAAAGCACUUUCAGUAGGGAGGAAGGUAGUGUAGUUAACACCUGCAUUAUUUGACGUUACCUACAGAAGAAGCACCGGCUAACUCCGUGCCAGCAGCCGCGGUAAUACGGAGGGUGCGAGCGUUAAUCGGAAUUACGUGGGCGUAAAGCGCAUGCAGGCGGCCUGUUAAGUCAGAUGUGAAAGCCCGGGGCUUAACCUCGGAAUUGCAUUUGAAACUGGCAGGCUAGAGUCUUGUAGAGGGGUUAGAAUUUCGAGGUGUAGCGGUGAAAUGCGUAGAGAUCUGAAGGAAUACCAGUGGCGAAGGCGGCCCCGUGGACAAAGACUGACGCUCAGAUGCGAAAGCGUGGGAGCAAACAGGAUU
rnacentral:rRNA from 1 species